rnacentral:lncRNA from 1 species
CCAGGCGAGCACAAGAGAGGUUGUGCAAUGUGUACCAUCGACAUAAAUUUUCUUUUAAUAUAAUACACUUCAGUUUGUACCAAAAAAAAUAUAAUACACUUCAGUAAAAUGUUGGUAGCAAUGAAAUCAAAUUCCAUUAAGCAUUAAUUCCAUGAAGAUUUCUCCUUCCACCAACCCCCGAAUGCCAGGGAGGAGUACAAAACAAAGCACCCACCUAGAUAUACUCCCUUCCUCUAUAAUGUUAUAGCGUACCACUGAUUCAGUCUGCGCUCAAAUGGCUUUGACCAUGACCACCAAGGACA